UACGUAGGGUGCAAGCGUUGUCCGGAAUUAUUGGGCGUAAAGAGCUCGUAGGCGGUCUGUUGCGUCGGCUGUGAAAACCCGGGGCUCAACUCCGGGCCUGCAGCCGAUACGGGCAGACUAGAGUUCGGCAGGGGAGACUGGAAUUCUUGGUGUAGCGGUGAAAUGCGUAGAUAUCAAGAGGAACACCUGCGGCGAAGGCGGGUUGCUGGGCCGACACUGACGCUGAAGCGCGAAAGCCAGGGGAGCGAACGGG
rnacentral:rRNA from 1 species